AACGCACAUUGCGCCUAUUAGUAUUCUAGUAGGCAUGCCUGUUCGAGCGUCAUUUCAACCCUCAGGCCCCCGUGGCCUGGCGUUGGGGCCUGCCGUAAAACGCAGCCCUGAAAGAUAGCUGGCGGAGUCGGGAUGCACUCUAAGCGUAGUAUACUUUUACAAGUCUCGCUUCUGCGUCGCCCCGCGCCCCUGCCACUAAACCCCCCCAAUUUCUAUGGUUGACCUCGGAUCAGGUAGGAAUACCCGCUGAACUUAA
rnacentral:misc_RNA from 1 species